CAUUCCUACAUCAAUGAGAACAAUUCUUAACCAAGUAGGAUUUACAUCUUUUGCAUUUAACACACAAAAUAUUUAUGCAUUGGACCAGGAAUAAUCACACACAAAAAGCUUUGAUGUGCUAAAGAUGUUUUUUUUCUUCUAAGUAAGAAUUUCAACUUUUAAAAAUAGACAAAAAGAAAUAAGAAAAAAAAUACAUAAAUUGCCAAUAGGCUUUUGAAUUUCUAUCCCGCAAUAAUCAAUUUACGCAUGUGGACAAAUCACAUAGUUUCUAUCACCUACAUUCAAAUUUAAUCACCGCACCCUGUGUGACUCCUGCAACCUGACAACUCAGCCUCCACAAUGCAAAAACUCUCUCUGGCCUCGAAUGGGACGCCUGCUGUCGACUCCUCCGAGGUGGCCAUGGCGAUGGCGUCGCCGCAAGAGGGCGAUGGCGAGGGAGGCUGCGAAGGAGGCUGCGAAGGGGGCGAUGGCGAUGGUGAAGGAGCCAGUGCCUGCUGUGGAAGACGUCGUCAGUUCAGCUCGAGCAGAAGCGGAUCCUGUGAAGUUGGGGUGGGCACCUGAUUCCCCGCAAUGUCGUAAGUGAUGAUCCCGGAGAAUGAAAGCGGCCGACACCGCCUGCCUCUCGAGAUGGUGCGCUGCCACAGAGCGCCGGGAUCUGCUUGCUCAAAAUAAUCCCUCACCUCGUCUGAUAAUAGUUCUUGAGAGGAGCAGCUGUCGUAGCUACUCCCCGAGGAACCGCUCGUCGUGCUCCUCGGCGUCCGUUCGCAGUCCUCCUCGGCUGCUGGACUCUUCAGCAUAUGACCUCGCACGGCGCACAUCCCCAUUGCUACCCGAUUCCGCCUUAGUCCCUCACUCACAGUCUCGACAAUGGAACGUGCCACCCAAAUCCUAAGCGAUUUCACUCAUUGAGUGUACAUCGCCUGUACCGACCCGGCAAGGAUGGCACACGGCAAAAAACAUACCAAGCUUGAUGUGUCAAGAGACUAUUUUGCUACCGACUGUGGUACCAGACGAGAGAGAAUUAGAGAGGACAACGACCCACCCGCACGCCGGUACUUGCAGACAGUGCAAGGGAAAGAACAGCUCACAUGGAUUCAUUGUUUUGCGGUCAGGUUUUCGCAGUACUGAGAGUGUUGUGAUUGCACUGAGACCCUCAGCACCGCCCUUAAGUUGUACCGAUCUUCACUGUUUCAGGUUCUCGCCCCAGAGCAAGUCCGAGAAUCUCUCAUAUGGCGGAAAUAAACGAAUGGUAUAUUUACUGUACAAAACUGUCCACUUUCGGCUAAAU
rnacentral:lncRNA from 1 species